GAUGAACGCUGGCGGCGUGCUUAACACAUGCAAGUCGAACGAAGCACCUUAUUCUGAUUUCUUCGGAAUGAAAAAUUUGGUGACUGAGUGGCGGACGGGUGAGUAACGCGUGGGUAACCUGCCUCAUACAGGGGGAUAACAGUUAGAAAUGACUGCUAAUACCGCAUAAGACCACAGCACCGCAUGGUGCAGGGGUAAAAACUCCGGUGGUAUGAGAUGGACCCGCGUCUGAUUAGGUAGUUGGUGGGGUAACGGCCUACCAAGCCGACGAUCAGUAGCCGACUUGAGAGGGUGACCGGCCACAUUGGGACUGGGACACGGCCCAAACUCCUACGGGAGGCAGCAGUGGGGAAUAUUGCACAAUGGGGGAAACCCUGAUGCAGCGACGCCGCGUGAGCGAUGAAGUAUUUCGGUAUGUAAAGCUCUAUCAGCAGGGAAGAAAAUGACGGUACCUGACUAAGAAGCACCGGCUAAAUACGUGCCAGCCGCCGCCGUAAAAC
rnacentral:rRNA from 1 species